rnacentral:rRNA from 1 species
AUUGAACACUGGCGGCAUGCUUAACACAUGCAAGUCGAACGGUAACAGGCCCUUCGGGGUGCUGACGAGUGGCGGACGGGUGAGUAAUGCUUAGGAAUCUGCCUAGUAGUGGGGGAUAACCCGGGGAAACUCGGGCUAAUACCGCAUACGCCCUACGGGGGAAAGCGGGGGACGUUUCGGGCCUCGCGCUAUUAGAUGAGCCUAAGUCCGAUUAGCUAGUUGGUAGGGUAAUGGCCUACCAAGGCGACGAUCGGUAGCUGGUCUGAGAGGACGACCACGCCACACUGGGACUGAGACACGGCCCAGACUCCUACGGGAGGCAGCAGUGGGGAAUAUUGGACAAUGGGCGCAAGCCUGAUCCAGCGAUGCCGCGUGUGUGAA